rnacentral:rRNA from 1 species
AUGAACGCUGGCGGCGUGCCUAACACAUGCAAGUCGAACGGAGUCCAGCCUUUAAGACCUUCGGGUCACAGAGGGGAAGACUGAGUGGCGGACGGGUGAGUAACACGCGGGCAACCUGGCUCAUAGAGGGGGAUAACAGAGAGAAAUUUCUGCUAAUACCGCAUAAGCACACACUGCCGCAUGGCAGAGGGUGAAAAGAGAAUCGCUAUGAGAUGGACCCGCGUCUGAUUAGCCAGUUGGCAGGGUAAGAGCCUACCAAAGCGACGAUCAGUAGCCGAUCUGAGAGGAUGAACGGCCACAUUGGGACUGAGACACGGCCCAAACUCCUACGGGAGGCAGCAGUGGGGGAUAUUGCACAAUGGGGGGAACCCUGAUGCAGCGACGCCGCGUGAGUGAAGAAGUAUUUCGGUAUGUAAAGCUCUAUCAGCAGGGAAGAUAAUGACAGUACCUGAAUAAGAAGCCCCGGCUAACUACGUG